GGUCAAGCUACUAAGGGCGCUUGGUGGAUGCCUUGGCGGAGACUGGCGAUGAAGGACGUGUCUAGCUGCGAUAAGCUUCGGGGAGCUGCUAAGAGAGCUUUGAUCCGGAGAUGUCCGAAUAGGGAAACCUUCUCCCGUUCGCGGGAGAAUCUUCCAGCUGAAUUCAUAGGCUGGUUGAAGCGAACCCAGGGAACUGAAACAUCUCAUGUACCUGGAGGAAAAGAAAUCAAUUGAGAUUUCCUGAGUAGUGGCGAGCGAAAGGGAAAGAGUCUAAACCUAUGCUAACUUGUUAGCAUAGGGGUUGCGGGACUCCGAUAUGGGAUUGCGGAUGGAUAGUUGAACGGUCUGGAAAGGCCGGCCAUAGUAGGUGAUAGCCCUGUAAACGAAAUCUUGAAGCACCCUAGGAGUAUCCCAAGUACCGCGGGGCACGAGAAACCCUGUGGGAAUCCGGGUGGACCAUCAUCCAAGACUACAAUACAUGUCUCCGACCGAUAGUGAACUAGUACCGCGAGGGAAAGGUGAAAAGUACCCAGAGAUGGGAGUGAAAUAGUAUCUGAAACCAUGCGCUUACAAGCAGUCGAAGCACUAUGUCCCAAGAGCAAUCGAGGGAAAUGUGUAACGGCGUGCCUUUUGCAUAAUGAGUCAGCGAGUUACUUUUUGUAGCAAGGUUAAGUCCGCAAGUGGACGGAGCCGUAGCGAAAGCGAGUCUGAAUAGGGCGAUUUAGUUGCAAGGAGUAGACCCGAAACCUAGUGAUCUAUCCAUGGGCAGGAUGAAGGCUCGUUAAACCGGGCUGGAGGUCCGAACUGGUGACCGUUGAAAAGGUCUCGGAUGACCUGUGGAUAGGGGUGAAAGGCUUAUCAAACUGGGAAAUAGCUGGUUCUCCCCGAAAUAUAUUGAGGUAUAGCCUCGUCGGAUUCAUCACGGAGGUAGAGCUACUGGAUGGUCUAGGGUCCCUUACCGGGAUACCAAAACCAACCAAACUCCGAAUUCCGUGAAUGACGAAGACGGGAGUCAGACGGUGGGUGAUAAUGUCCAUCGUCAAAAGGGAAAGAGCCCAGACCAUCGGCUAAGGCCCCAAAAUACACGCUAAGUGGGAAAGGAUGUGGAAACGCACAGACAGCCAGGAGGUUGGCUUAGAAGCAGCCAUCCUUUAAAGAAAGCGUAAUAGCUCACUGGUCAAGUGAGUCCGCGCCGAAAAUGUAACGGGGCUUUAAAGCGUGUUGCCGAAGCCGUGGAUGGCCGCCAAUUUAUGGCGUACGUGGUAGGGGAGCAUUCUGUAAGCCUGCGAAGGAUGAUCGUAAGAACAUCUGGAGGUAUCAGAAGAGCUAAUGCUGACAUGAGUAGCGAUAAUGAUGGUGAAAAACCAUCACGCCGAAAACCCAAGGUUUCCUGAGCAAGGUUAAUCCUCUCAGGGUUAGUCGGUACCUAAGUCGAGGCCGAAAGGCGUAGAUGAUGGAUGGCAGGUUAAUAUUCCUGCACCGCUUUGGUUGCGUUAAAACCUUCGGGGUGACGAAGAAGGGUAAACAAUCGGUCGAUUGGAAGUGACCGUUUAAGCUCGUAGGAGGGUGUCCUAGGUAAAUCCGGGAUGCCAUUAACUCCGAGAAGUGAGUACGACUGAUUCCACUUCGGUGGAUGAUGAUAGUUGUUGAUCCCAUGCUUCCGAGAAAACCCUCGUCGGGAGUUACCAAGGUGACCGUACCGGAAACCGACACAGGUGGGUGAGGUGAAAAUCCUAAGGCGCUUGAGUGAUCUCUGGCUAAGGAACUCUGCAAAUUGAUGCCGUAACUUAGGGAGAAGGCAUGCCUCAUGAUGUGAGUACCCUCGCGGUACAAAGCGUUAUGGGGUCGCAGUGAAACGGUGGUAGCGACUGUUUAACAAAAACACAGGGCUCUGCUAAGUCGAUUAAAGACGAAGUAUAGGGUCUGACGCCUGCCCGGUGCUGGAAGGUUAAGGAGAGAUGUCAUCUGCCGCAAGGUGGAGAAGCUUCGAACCGAAGCCCCAGUAAACGGCGGCCGUAACUAUAACGGUCCUAAGGUAGCGAAAUUCCUUGUCGGGUAAGUUCCGACCUGCACGAAUGGCGUAACGACUGCCACACUGUCUCGGCCAGAAGCUCAGCGAAAUUGAAUUUGCGGUGCAAAUGCCGCAUUCCCGCGGAAAGACGGAAAGACCCUGUGCACCUUUACUAUAACUUGACAUUGAACUUCGGGGCGGUUUGUGUAGGAUAGGUGGGAGACUUUGAAGUUUCGGCGCUAGCCGGAAUGGAGUCAACCUUGAAAUACCACCCUGAUUGUUCUGGAGUUCUAACAGAUACCCGUUAUCCGGGUACUGGACACUGUCUGGUGGGUAGUUUGACUGGGGCGGUCGCCUCCUAAAUUGUAACGGAGGCGCGCAAAGGUUCUCUCAGGCUGAUUAGAAACCAGCCGUUGAGUGCAAAGGCAUAAGAGAGCUUAACUGUGAGACCAACAAGUCGAGCAGAUGGGAAACCAGGUCUUAGUGAUCCGGUGGUUCUGAAUGGAAGGGCCAUCGCUCAUCGGAUAAAAGGUACGCCGGGGAUAACAGGCUGAUCUCCCCCAAGAGUUCACAUCGACGGGGAGGUUUGGCACCUCGAUGUCGGCUCAUCGCAUCCUGGGGCUGAAGUAGGUCCCAAGGGUUUGGCUGUUCGCCAAUUAAAGCGGUACGCGAGCUGGGUUCAGAACGUCGUGAGACAGUAGACUGUUGCUGUCUAAAAAUCUGGCUAUAUGCUGGAAAAUCUGUAGAAUCCGACAGUACUCUCUGUAAGGGAGUAAAAAUCUGAUCGGUGCAGACAAUCAGCAGGAAAGGUCAGGGAAAUGGAUAAUCAUUAUAUCGCAGGUUUUGUUGAUGGAGAAGGCAGCUUUCAUGUUGCCUUCCAACGUAGCGAUGAUGUUAGGUUGGGAUGGCAGGUUAUUCCUGAAUUCCAUCUAAGUCAGAACGUAUCCAGUAGAAAUGUUCUUGAAGUUAUUCAAGGGCGUUUUGGUUGUGGUUCAAUAAAAGAAAAUCAUCGUGAACGUUUGAAUGAUCAUACUUAUGUACUUGUGAUCAGAGACAGGCAAGACCUGACUAAAAAAGUGAUUCCUUUUUUUGAACGCUAUCCAUUGCACACUCAAAAGAAAAAUGAUUUUGCCAUUUUUAGGCAAAUUGUUGAGAUGAUGAAUCAGAAACUUCAUCUCUCAUCAAAAAGUUUUUCUGAGAUUGUGAAUUUGGCUUAUUCUAUGAAUGCCAACGGAUAUCGACGAAAGGUUCCAAAAAAUGAAAUCCUUAGUACCCUGAAAUCCUCAGAGACUAUACGCCAGAAUCAGUUAAAGGCUGAUAAGAUAUAGUCCGAACUGCAUGGCGACAUGCAGAGCCUGCUUCGCAGCAGGCCGUCCGCCUAAGGCGGAUCAGUACUCCGAAUUUCGGAGGAAGUAACAGAUUGUCGGUCCCUAUCUUCCGUGGGUGGAGGAGAUUUGCGGGGAUCUGUCCCUAGUACGAGAGGACCGGGAUGGACGAACCUCUGGUGCACCAGUUGUCACGCCAGUGGCAUUGCUGGGUAGCUAUGUUCGGAUCCGAUAACCGCUGAAAGCAUCUAAGUGGGAAACGGACCCCAAAACUAGAUCUCCCUCUCCAUAAGGAGCUUAAAGACCCCUUGUAGAUUACGAGGUUGAUAGGCCGGAUGUGUAAGUCCCGUAAGGGAUUAAGCUAACCGGUACUAAUUGGUCGAGAGGCUUGACCUU
rfam:Deltaproteobacteria bacterium RIFCSPLOWO2_02_FTLL_40_36 rifcsplowo2_02_scaffold_19, whole genome shotgun sequence.